AAAAUCUAGAAUUGAGUUUAUAUUAAGAAUAUAACAUUUUGUAUAUAAAAAACCUUCUAAUUUUUACCACUUUUCUUUCAGAUAAGAGAGAUUCGCCAGAAAUAUGAUAUGGUGACCUACCUGUUGGAGUAUAUUGACUAUCCUGACCAAAAUUGAUCUGCUGUCAGUUCCAUUUGGCGAGGGGAUGUCUGAUGUAGCUUCAAGCAGGGACCUGCGCCUUUUAUUGGAUUGGUGUCCGGAAAAGGGUUGGACAGUGCCUAUGCCCACUGUACGUACUUAUAAUCCCAUAAUUUGGCUUAUCUUUCUAUCUGUAAUUAUUAAUUAAUAUUCAAUACAUAGUACGAUAUUUACUCCGUAUAAGUGAAAUGAUGUUACAUUAUACCAUAUUUUGAACUUAAAUGAUCUUUCAUUUUCUUUAGGAUUAUCUGUUUUAUAAUGGAGCCUUUAGGUUUGUUCAAGUUCAGUAUAUGAGCUUUCUGCAUAAUUGGUUUCUAGAAUGAAAAUAUUGUGGCAAUGUGCUAUUAUUGGGUGGGAGAGGAUUGCCUAUAUUAAGAGCAUUUUCUUUCUUCUGAAUUUC